CGAUCUUUUUGACAUCAACAAUUCCUUACACUAAAGUUUAAUCCAAUCCACAACCAAGUGUAACCGUCCCUCAUCAUCAGCAGCCAGGUUUGCCAACUGAGCAAACUCACGGCACAUUUUGUCGUAUCUCAACUGCUUGGGAGAAUUAAUUAAAUCGCCAUAGUUCACCGCAACCCUAUUGUGUGCUCAGCUAACAUCUUGUCUUCAUCUCCGCAGUAUGUACAUGAAGUGACGUGACAGCACAACUAAUCAAUACUAUAAUCGCAUGCCUACAAAGUACUCCUCGGAACUCAAACAAAUGGUAGCUACAAACAAUGUCACAAUUCUUUUUCUUGAAUGAGAUGACGAAUGUUUUUUCUUUCGUCGCCCAUCGUAUAUAACAUCCUCUCGUACCUCAUAUGAUGCCGACAAGUCUCCCUCCAAAGUGGAUGAGAUAUCAUAGUAAACCUUUCCCGUGAACUCAUCCUGAGCUUCCUUGAAUUUUGCUUUCGUAUAAACUGACUGAAAUUGCAUCUCCAUUUCAUACUGCGUUGCACCCGGUACCAUUUGCGAAAAUGACUUGAAAUCAGCCUAGAACUCCUUCUCAACCUUAUUCCACAGUGCUCGUUCAUACUGUUCCAUAAAUUGCUUUAACAAAGCCUUCGAAUUCAAGUUUCGUCGAAGAAUACAUUUAUAUUCUCACUUCUUUGUGUUGUUGACAUACCUACCCAGAACGUAGUCUUCAAAAAACAAGGAACCCAACGAUUUCGGUUCUCAUACAGGCCAGAUAACCAAUCAUUAUCUUACAAGCUAAAUUGAUCAAUCAUCAAAGCCCAACCCUCUUCAAACUCUUCAACAAGUUGCGAAUUAUAAACUAAUACGUGUAUGGCCCUAAAUAUCGAAGACUUGUCAUUGUGGUACCCAAACUUUUCAGGCAACUUCUUUAAAAUGUUCCACAAACACCAUCUAUGCCUCGUGUGUGGAAAAACAUCUAUACACUGUAGCCAUAUCCUGAACAACCACACAAAAGUAUCCGUGUCUUCAUUUGACACCAAACCACAACCAAGCAAAGUUGAUUGCCCGUGAUGAUUGACGCCAACAAAUGGGGUGAACGACAUGUCAUUUUCAGUUAAGUGGUAUCAAACGUAACAACAUCGUCGAAUUCCUUAUAGGCUUGCCUACAACAAUUAUCAACCCAGAAUACAUUUUUCAGUCAGGAGUCAUCAUCUAAAUUUAUGCUGAAGUAAAAUUUCAGGC
rnacentral:lncRNA from 1 species